rnacentral:siRNA from 1 species
UCCAUAGAGAUUUGAAGCCUUC